ACACCGGCAGCACAAGUGGUGGCCAUUUUUAUUGGGCCUAAAGCGUUCGUAGCCGGCCUGAUAAGUCUCUGGUGAAAUCCCGCAGCUUAACUGUGGGAAUUGCUGGAGAUACUAUCAGGCUUGAGGUCGGGAGAGGUUAGAGGUACUCCCAGGGUAGGGGUGAAAUCCUAAAAUCCUGGGAGGACGACCUGUGGCGAAGGCGUCUACGUGGAACGAACCUGACGGUGAGUAACGAAAGCCAGGGGCGCGAGCCGGAUUAGAUACCCGGGUAGUCCUGGCCGUAAACGAUGUGGACUUGGUGUUGGGAUGGCCUCGAGCUGCCCCAGUGCCGAAGGGAAGCUGUUAAGUCCACCGCCUGGGAAGUACGGUCGCAAGACUGAAACUUAAAGGAAUUGGCGGGG
rnacentral:rRNA from 1 species